UAAAAGCAGGGCAAAAAAGCCAAUGGAGUCAUUUUUAUAAAUGGAGCAGAGCAGAGGUAAGAUAAGUAUUAAAAAAUUGCUAGGUGUUUCUAAUGAACUGUGUUUCUUCACCUCGGGAGCAUGCCUGGAGCUUUUUCCUAAGCAUCAUCAUGCCCGGCUGAAGCCAUCCAUGAGGGGAGCAAAGGCUUUGUAAUUAACAUCCGAUGACGGAGGACUGCCCUCUCUAAAUGAGCAGCGUAAAUUACCUAGUUGGUCUUAGGCAGUGGUUCUCCAGUUGAAAGUCAGUCCCAGGCAACAUCACUGUGGCAAGCACUGCCUUCUUCGGCUGAAUCACGAUAUUCAAGGCAGAGCUCUGAAGAAGUCCGCACAUCUCGGGAAGCAACAGAGCGCCCCUGGUCAACAGAAGAGACCUCGGCUGUGCACACACAUCUUGGUCCCUUGAUUGACUCGCUGAUGUUCCUGGGGGAAGCGUGAUUGCGAGCCCGUCUUUCAUUAGACCUGAUCUGUUGAGAGGGGGCGGGUGGAAUUAAAUACGAUAUGUAGAACCACAUUUUGUUGUGAAAAGUAAAUAAAUCAAUGAUAAAUCCA